rnacentral:lncRNA from 10 species
AGCGGAAGUGUCCUUCUUUCCUUUUUGCUGGUAGGGCCGGGUGGUUGCUGCCGAAAUGGGCAAGUUCAUGAAACCUGGGAAGGUGGUGCUUGUCCUGGCUGGACGCUACUCCGGACGCAAAGCUGUCAUCGUGAAGGUAUCAGCCUCGCGGGACUCUGCGUCCUUGCAUGCCGGGACCAGGCUGGCUGCGGCGGGGCGGGCAGGCUUGGAAUUCAAGGCCUGUUUCUGGGGCAGUAGCCAGUGAGCACGGUCAGGGUGAACGUGGGAGAGUUUUUGAGAGAGGAAGAAGCACAGUAAAAGCAAAUGUGAGCUGAAUUGGGCUCCCAACGCAUAAAGCCUUCUCCACCAGAGGCUUUAAAUAUAUAGUAAUAGUGGCUGACAUUGCACGCUUGCUAUGUGCUCCCACUGCCUUUCAGGUAUUGUCAUGUGCAGUCCUUGAAGUAAUCAUAGGGGAUUCCUUUUCUUUUCUUUUCUUUUUUUUUUUUUUGAGACGGGAUCUCUGUCCAGGCUAAGUGCAGUGGCGUGAUCACUGCAGCCUCGACCUCCCGGGCUCAAGCGAGUCUCCCAUCUCAGCCUCUCGAGUG